rnacentral:rRNA from 1 species
AAACCAACAGGGAUUGCCCCAGUAACGGCGAGUGAAGCGGCAAAAGCUCAAAUUUGAAAUCCCCCGGGAGUUGUAAUUUGAAGGCAGCGGGUGCAGCGUGAAGAAGUCCAUUGGAACAUGGCGCCACAGAGGGUGAGAGCCCCGUCAGCACGCACCAGGGCCCGCGGCCAAAGAGUCGAGUUGUUUGGGAAUGCAGCUCUAAGUGGGUGGUAAAUUCCAUCUAAAGCUAAAUACCGGCGAGAGACCGAUAGCGAACAAGUACAGUGAUGGAAAGAUGAAAAGCACUUUGAAAAGAGAGUGAAACAGUACGUGAAAUUGUUGGAAGGGAAGGGCUUGCAAGCAGACACAACCUCGGUUGGGCCAGCAUUGGGAACAGGGGGGCCAGAAACGCAAAGGAACGUGGCUCCACGGAGUGUUAUAGCCUUUGUCCAUGGCCCCACCCGGUCCCAAGGCCUGCGUCAUCUAGGAUGCUG